rnacentral:rRNA from 1 species
UACGGGAGGCAGCAGUGGGGAAUAUUGCACAAUGGGCGAAAGCCUGAUGCAGCUAUGCCGCGUGUAUGAAGAAGGCCUUAGGGUUGUAAAGUACUUUCAUCGGGGAGGAAAAAACAAAACUAAUAAUUUUAUUUCUUGACGUUACCCGAAAAAGAAGCACCGGCUAACUCCGUGCCAGCAGCCGCGGUAAUACGGAGGGUGCUAGCGUUAAUCAGAAUUACUGGGCGUAAAGAGCACGUAGGUGGUUUUUUUAAGUCAGAUGUGAAAUCCCUGGGCUUAACCUAGGAACUGCAUUUUGAAACUGAAAUACUAGAGUAUCGUAGAGGGAGGUAGAAUUCUAGGUGUAGCGGUGAAAUGCGUAGAUAUCUGGAGGAAUACCUGUGGCGAAAGCGGCCUCCUAAACGAAUACUGACACUGAGGUGCGAAAGCGUGGGGAGCAAACAGGGAUUAGAUACCCGU